GCCAGGUGUGGUGACACAUGCCUGUAAUCCCAGCAUCUUGGGAGGCUGAGGCAGGAGUAUCCCAAGUUUGAGGCCAACCUCAGCAACUUAUGGAGGCCCUAAGCAAUUUUGUGAGACCCUGUCUCAA
rnacentral:sRNA from 1 species